CUAUUGUUAAUCUCAUUACUUUUUAGUAUUCCCCAUUCCUCCCAUUUUGGAAUCUGUUAUCUGUAAAAAUACUACAAAAAGAUAUUAAAUCGAUGCGAAAUUGAUGCACACCAAUCCUUAACUCAUAAGCCUAAAUAUAUUUCACAAUUAUACAAAUUACGCACUUUUGAAAGAAACUAUUUGUUGAAGCAUAUAUAGAUUGUAGCAAUCAAGAAGAAGAAAGAAAAUUGCCCAUUUAAUUACAAGAAAAUAAUAAAAUUCAUUUGAUGGAUGCCAUAGUAUAAUUAUAAACAACAAAACUCAUUUAAUGGGUGCCAUAGCUUAAAAGCCCUUGCAGAUUCUUUAUUUAUCAUUACUGCUUCUUCUAUUUGUAAAUACUGUUAAUUUAUGUCAGCUCAUUCCUCAGUUAUUAAUUUUGUAUAGUUUAAGGAAUUGAAUUCUCUGCCUCGCAAAUGUCAUCAUCAAACUUCAAUAGCGUCUGUAGGGGUUUAUAAUGGGUUUAAGUGUCUAAUCAUUUAAAAUAUAUUCGAUAAAUAUAAAUAUAUUUAAGCCUUAAUACUUACGAACAUAAACUUUAAUCUCCAUAAGCGUAAUGACGUCCUUUGUUUUAAUAUAAAACAAAUAUAACAAAUAAAACAAUAUCAAUUCAUGUUUCGAAAGCUUUGUAAAUUUAUCAACAUUUUGUUUCUAAAUUUAAUUACGGAACAAUUUGGGACUCAAAAUUUAAUAGUAAUAAUAAAUUUUAAAAAUGCAUUUAUUUAAUAUUCACAUUAUUUGGCCAACAUAAUUUUAAAGAUUAUUAAAGAGCAUAUAAAACUCGGUAUUUAAUGACUUGCAGUUGUUAUAUGAAAAAUUGAUAGACCGCUUUUGUAAGCGGACUAUCUCAUAGUGUCUAUACGCGCUUUUCGUAAGAAAGAAUCAAUUUUGUGAAACAAAUAGUAUUAUCUGGAUAAUUUUGUGCAAACCAUUUGAACAACAGUGACUAGAGCUAUGGACUAUCAACAGAUACUAUACUUCAGCGUUGGCCAAUCAAAGGAUGCUCAUAUAGGGUCAAUUACAGUACGGUGUUCUUCGAAAAUAUGAUAUAUUUUCUGGGUGAUAUCAGAAAGUGACCCACAACAAGAUGUGACAACAGAAAAACAACUACUCUGCUCUUUUUUGAGUCCUGUUUAAUGUAAACUAUUCCUGUUAAACCAUUGAAUAAACGUAAAAAAUAACAAAUAGUAUUAAUAUUAUUAUUGAGAAAUCAUGUGAUUAAAAAACUGUUGGGUAGAUUUAACUUUCAUGUACAUACUUUAAAGCGUAGUUCUCAAAAGCUUCUUAAUUUGCCUUCGAGAUUUGCUAAUAAUAUUUUAUGUCCACUUUUAGAACAAGUUUCUUUGACACCCUGGUGUUUUUUCGCUUUCGGUCUAGGAAUUAUCGCAAAUAACUCAUUAAUACAUUUAAGAUCAAAAUCAGCUUUUUUUUACUUAAUGAGGAGAUUGUUUCGAUUUUCUAUUAUUGUUUUGAACCUUUUUAUGACACCUAUACUUCUUUUCA